rnacentral:rRNA from 1 species
AUUGAACGCUGGCGGCAGGCCUAACACAUGCAAGUCGAGCGGAUGAAGGGAGCUUGCUCCUGGAUUCAGCGGCGGACGGGUGAGUAAUGCCUAGGAAUCUGCCUGGUAUGGGGGGAUAAGGUCCGGAAACGGGCGCUAAUACCCCAAACGUCCUGAGGGAGAAAGUGGGGGAUCUUGGGCCCUCACGCUACCAGAUGACCCUAGGUCGGAUUAGCUAGUUGGUGGGGUAAAGGCCUACCAAGGCGACGAUCCGUAACUGGUCUGAGAGGAUGAUCAGUCACACUGGAACUGAGACACGGUCCAGACUCCUACGGGAGGCAGCAGUGGGGAAUAUUGGACAAUGGGCGAAAGCCUGAUCCAGCCAUGCCGCGUGUGUGAAGAAGGUCUUCGGAUUGUAAAGCACUUUAAGUUGGGAGGAAGGGCAGUAAGUUAAUACCUUGCUGUUUUGACGUUACCAACAGAAUAAGCACCGGCUAACUUCGUG